UGACUCGGUGGACAUGAGUUUGAACAAGCCUGGGAGUUGGUGAUGGACAGGGAACCCUGGUGUGCUGCAGUCCAUGGGGUUGCAAAGAGUCGGACACGACUGAGUGACCGAACUGAACUGAAGUAGUGAUAUUACCAGCAGCAAGCCUGCUGGGGCUUCCCAUAUAAAUGAACAUGAACUUGAGGACGUCACUUGGGAAAUGCUACCAGAGAGCUUCAAACAGAAAAACAAUAACAAAACCUUCAACAACACAAUGUUAUGGCAACCCAUGAUCGAUAUCCUAAAAAUCAAUGAUUUCUCUUUAGUUUCCCCCACUGCUACCUUGCCCAUUAGUCUUCAGAAAUUUCCACCUUUGCAUUCACUUCGUUCUUUUAUUCUGGGGGUUUAAAAAGUAACUCUGCAGUGAGUUGGCGCUAGGGUUGGUGAGCUCCAAGAGUAACUGCUAUUCAGAAGUGGAAGUGGGACUCUCUGCUCUGUAUCUCUGUAGUCCUGUGAGAACUCAAAAAGCUGUGUCAUAUACCAUAGCAGAGUCUAGCAAUGAAUUAGGAGCUGGUGAGACCUUGGGAAGUGAGAUCAUCUAUGUCAGCAUGAUCUCAUGGUCCUGGGAAAUUCUUCCUCAAUAGAUAACACUGUAAACCAGUAAAUUACUGCUUGCUUCAAGAAAUUCUUGAAGAUCUGGGCAAAGAUUUUGGUCACAUGGAUAAACAGUUCUAUCAGGAUGAAAAGUUGCUUAUUUAGGUAACAGUUCACUUAUCAGAUAAUAUUUUAUUUAUCACUACUUGCUUGAAGAUGUGUGUUGCUAUUUUCAUCAUUCCAAAAUUACUAUGUCAUAAAAUUUGUCUAAUCUCAAUCAUUCCCUACCUUAAAAGAUUCUCCCUUAAACCACAUCCCUGAAUUCUAUAAAUGUACUCUUCUGACUUCCAUCUUAGAGAUAUUACUAAGAUACUGUCAUGGUGUUAUUCUUCACCAUUGUGGUAAGUCUAAUAAACUUCGUUUUGCUCAAUCAA